CUAGCCCCAACUGCCUACAUCUCCUUUGCUUUUGCUCUACCUGUUAUCGCAUUUGGGAAGUAACUGAGUCGAGAUACAAGUUCUGUCAAUGUUACAUUUAGAAAAAGUAUUUGAUGAUGAAGGCGUCCUUACCACCACUCUCUACGAGGUUUCCAUCUUGAAAAUGCUCUCUCGCGAGACUCGAGUCAACGUGUCUUUCUUUUGCUUUUUUGUUCUUGUGAUGAUUUCACUCUCAAAUUCCAUUUUAAUUUUAUAUGAACUUUUCAAUGUUCAUAUUACAUAUUGAUGGAGGUUAAACAGGGAAAAAUGAAGGAAUGAAAUAAUGUUCUCUACUUGGUGUUUAAGUACAUGCAUAUCGAUCUCAAAAAAUUCAUCGUAUCCUUUCAUAAUACGGGGGAGAAAAUUCUCGUUAACACUGUCAGAAUUUGAUGUACCAACUGUGCAGAGAUGUUGCUUUCUGCCAUGGUCAUGGAGUUUUACACGUUAUUUUUAACCCUUGUUCUUUUUAUGUAAAUGAGCCGAGAUACAAGUUCUAUCACUACGAUAUUCAAUGACCGAUCUCUUUUGAUUUUGGGAGGUGCAUAGCCUACUGUUAUUAUGUAUACAUAUUUGUACAACUUUACCAAAGGAAGAGAAGACUUGGGGCAAGAAUUAUAUUUGGCUUGGACUGGAUGGGUUUGUGUUUGGACUGCUCUCUUGUUGUUUCUCCCUGCAACGUUCAAUGCUUGCACAAUAAUUAACCGGCUCACGAGGGUUGCAGGAAUACAAUGGGAGAGGCGGGAGAGGCGGGGAGGGGAGCAAUACGAUGAUGGUGAUGGGUAUUUGAAAAAGAACAUAAAUGAAAAAGUUUUGGGGGGAUAAAUUAGAUAUAAAAUUAUUGUUUAAUGACA